rnacentral:rRNA from 1 species
GACGAACGCUGGCGGCGUGCCUAAUACAUGCAAGUCGAACGAGUGGCGGCCGGGUGAGUAACGCAUCGGAACGUACCGAGUAAUGGGGGAUCACUGUCCGAAAGGACAGCUAAUACCUCAUAUUAUUCGAGCGGCCGAUGUCUGAUUAGCGGGUUGGCGGGGUAAAGGCCCACCAAGGCGACGCUCAGUAGCGGGUCUGAGAGGAGAAUCCGCCACAGUGGGACUGAGACACGGCCCAGACUCCUACGGGAGGCAGCAGUGGGGAAUAUUGCGCAAUGGGGGCAACCCUGACGCAGCCAUGCCGCGUGAAUGAAGAAGGCCUUCGGGUUGUAAAGUUCUUUCGGUAGCGAGGCGUUAACUACAGAAGAAGCACCGGCUAACUCCGUGCCAGCAGCCGCGGUAAUUC